rnacentral:rRNA from 1 species
GACGAACGCUGGCGGCGUGCUUAACACAUGCAAGUCGAACGAAGUGGCGAACGGGUGAGUAACGCGUAAUCAACCUGCCCUUCAGAGGGGGACAACAGUUGGAAACGACUGCUAAUACCGCAUACUGAAGGAGGGGAUUGCGUCUGAUUAGCUAGUUGGAGGGGUAACGGCCCACCAAGGCGAUGAUCAGUAGCCGGUGGGGGAGGAGAGACGGCCACAUUGGGACUGAGUGACGGCCCAGACUCCUACGGGAGGCAGAAGAGGGGAAUCUUCCGAAAUGGAUGAAAGUCUGACGGAGCAACGCCGCGUGAGUGAUGAGGGCCUUCGGGUUGUAAAGAUCUGUUAAUCGGGACGCGGUACCGGAAUAGAAAGCCACGGCUAACUACGGGCCAGCAGCCGCGGGAAUAC